rnacentral:lncRNA from 1 species
CCGAAAUGCAGUGUCCCUGGAAGGGACGCCCUCUCUGGGCCCGCUGGCUCCCGUCUCAUUGGGCUGAAUGGGGUCAUGUGACCACUCUCCGCUGCAAAGGAGUCUGGGAAAUUGCAUUUUGUUGUUGUUGGAACUCAUUUUGAAGCCAAAUGAAACGAGAAUCGUGUCAACGAGGAAGGUUUAGGGAGGGGGUGGAUGUGUAGGCAACCAGCAGAGGGCCCCGAAAUCCGUGAAGAUCAGGUCUGACGGUGGCUCCAUGCUCCCUCCAUUAAAGGGCUUCACAAAAACCCUUCCGAAAAGGCUCCUGGCUGGCCCUUCUUCUCUCUUCUGCAGAGCUGGGCAUCAGAGCACACUGAGCAGCAGGAUGAAAUGCCCACAGAGCUUCUGAGGCCAAGUCCUGUCUGACAGGUAGGAGGUGGGCCCAUGACAAAUGACCUUGCCUUCCUAACUCCUUGAUUAACUUAUCCAUCCAUGAAUGCGCAAAGGCAGUCCCAACACCUCACUAGAACCCAUUCCUGGAAACUCCGUUGUAAAGUAAGGAAUAAAAUUGGUCGGCAGGAAUCAGCUUAGAAAUAACAACACAGUAAAGUCACGUUCCUGAAAAUGGACUGUGCACUGAUGAAGUCAUAUUGAAGAUAAAGGGCCUGCUGUUAAGGCAGAGCCCAGGGACACUUAUCCUAUGUAACCAUUUCAACUGGAGAACAAUUUCACCCAGUCUAGGACAUGGCAGACUAUGAACACACCUGUUAUCCCGGACACCUGAUCUGCCAUAGAGCAGCCCUGAUGCCUACACAAACCCACUCUCUUGUUUAUUGCAAUUAGCUUUUUCUAUUUUUUUUUUUUUUUGGUCUUAGGUCUACUUUAUGAUUCAGUAAACAUUGAAUUAACAAUCCAUUUUUCUUCUUAGAAUGUUGAAGGCCGUUAGGGCAUUAUAUGGAAGGAAAAUAUUUUCUUAGGAAACCCUGAUCUUAUUUUCCCUUUCUCUGCCAGAAAAGGUUCCAAAAUUCAUCUUCACACCUCAGCACCAUCCUAGGGGGUUCAACUCAUUUAGCUGCUAAUGUGGUUUCUCUCCCAUAAAAAAAAAAUUCUUCAAAAAAGAACUUUGAAGUAAAGUCCCCGUCAGGUGACACAGAUGCCAAGUAGGAAUGCACUGGGCUUCAAAUCACAAUAACCCAACUUAAGAUGGCUUAAACAAGGGCAGGCUUGUCCUUAUCAUGCAGUAAGGAUGUCGGAGGAAGGCAGCCUCGGGUAUCUACUCAGCUAUUCACCAGCGGCAGAGAUGGCACCUUCUUCCUGCUUGUAGUGGUGUCCCG